rnacentral:lncRNA from 1 species
UAAAAACUACAUUCAAUUUAUUUAAAUAAAAUACUAAUAAACUUGUAAUGUCGAUUUUUUAAACAACUGAGGUAUAAUAUGUAACAACCCGUAUAAUAUAUAUCUAGAAUAACAUCAUACAAGUGUUAAUAAUUGGUACUGAUCCAACAUAAGUGUCUAAUGGCAUCAAUAUAAAUACAUGUCCAAAUAUGAAAACAUCAAUGGGACAUGUUAUAUAAUGGUGCCUACAAAUAAAAAUCUAAGAACUAUGUGCAACAUCUUCAUUGCACAAAACUCCAUAGCGGAAGAUCAUGAUAAACAACAUCCCUUGAAACAUCCAUAGACAACUUCUCCUGAAUUCAAUCUGCAAGGAAUACCUGAAAAAUAACAACAAUAAUGGGAUGAGAUAAUAAUUUCAGUGAGUUCUCUUAUCCUAUGGGUCCACUAGGCUCUACAGGGUUCCUACUCGAUUCUAACUCAAGCAUUCACCUUCUGUUACUUGUGUAUCACUCGCACCUUGUAACUAGGACUUGAGUAACUACAUGAUAAUCACAAUGUAUGGAAACAUGUCACUUGAGUGCAUCCACUCAAAAAAUCACUAUUCGGAUUCACGAAACAUCGAUCCCCAACCGGACCUACGUCUAGGCCAAGGCUUGGUUCACGCAUGUCCGAAUGAUUCGACUUUCACAGUGGAUAUCAGGUUCCCCUAUGGGACUCGAACCCACUUUUAAGAACCAUCACUCAUAUGGGACUCGAACCCACUUUGAGUAUCUUUCACCGUAUGGGACUCUAACCCACUUAGGUGUCCACCUCUCUCUCAUGUCCACCAUGGUUAGGGCUCAAACCCAAUUAAGGCACGAAUCACUGGUGCCACAUCCCCACUUACCGUUUUGCCUAAGCCCUUGAAGUGGUAUAUGCACAAUCACAAAUAAUUCCGAAUACGUGAUUAAUUCUCAAUAACCAAUAGGACUUUCGGAGCAACGCUCCUCAUCAAAAUAGGACUUUUGGAACAAAAGUUCCUCACCAAAUAUCAAACAAUUCUCAUGAUAUCAUAUUAAUUCUCAUGGCAUCAUAACAUGAUCCAUUCUCAUACAUAUAUCACACAUGUUCCAUACAAAGCAUAUUGAUUCGUUACCAAGUGGAUACUUGUCCACAAUACACACCUAGGUACUGUUACGUCCAAGCAUCACCGUAUACUCAUUUCCAUAACCUAGAUUAUCUUUCUAAGUUAUUUAUCAAGUUAUUCUCCUGGGUUUCCUCACUCAUCUUUAUAAGGUUUUUAAUCGUGUUAUUUCACAUUCAACAUAACAAAAAUAUUUAACUUUCGUCAUAAUAUAAUUCAUAGCAUUUAUAAAUCACAUAAUAUAGUAUAACAUGGAAUGAUAAUAAUAGUCCUUUACGUUAUCCUUCUAACGCAACCGUCCGCGUCCAAAACGGAGUUACAAUUCUCAAAUAAUUUAAAAAUCUAACUUAAUCAAGAAUAUAGGUUAACAUUUAUUCCUUACACAAAUAUUUAACAAUAAAAGCUUAACCUAGUGGUAAAGCUUGUUCCAUACAAAUGAGGUUCUAGGUUCAACCCCCAUUGACAGCAUAUUUUAAUUUAUCAAAGAAUUAAUUCAUGAUUGGGAGAUUUCUCACAAAAUUUCACUAAACCAAUCGAUUGGUUGGAACUCUUUAAAGGUUGGGGAUCAAGACAUACUAGCUAAGAACUCACCUUGAAGAUGAAGUUUGAUGAAGGUGAUAGUGAAAAUGACAUGAUGAUGAAGAUGAUGAUCCUCCAUGGUUUUUCUUGUUUUUCCUCCAAGCUCUUCUUUCCUCUUUC